rnacentral:tRNA from 1 species
AGUUCUAUGGUGUAAUGGUUAGCAUGCUGGUCUCUGAAUCAAGUGGGCUGAGUUCAAAUCUUGAUAGAACCU